GUGAGUAGAGUCUUUGUAACAGAAUUAACGCUCAUUGGAUCACAUGGGAACAGAUUACUAACUCAUAAAGAAGAUAUUAUAUUGGAUCUAUGCUGUGACUAAUAUUCUCUGCUCUGCGCAAUGCCGCCGUGUGGAUAGCUUCUUGCUGUGGCUCCUCAAAGAAGGACAGGACAGGACAAUACCAGUGUAAAGGUACAGGGCAGGAAGUGUGGACAGUCUCUAGUGAUGAAACAACAUCCAGUAAAAAUCCUCCCUAAUUCCUCUGGACAGGAGAGAUGCCCACAUCUCCCCUCCACUUUAUUUAUUUCUGAAGUUCAUUAACUUGCAAUAUGUUGCUCUGUACUUGUUAUAAUGAUGACUUGUCUGAAAACUCCUUGUUUGGAAGUUGGACAAUGUCUGACAGCAGACAAGCGCAGCAGUGGCUCAGAGGUGGCUUACACCUCCUGUGUACCAAUAAUGUAUAUGGUGUAAAUGCAAUGUGGUCAACACAGCAAGUUAAUCCAAUAAAUUCAAUA